rnacentral:rRNA from 1 species
CAAGCGGGCAGGCUUUAACACAUGCAGUCGAGGGGUAGGGUUCUUCGGAACCUGAGACCGGCGCACGGGUGCGUAACGCGUAUGCAAUCUACCUUUUACAGAGGGAUAGCCCAGAGAAAUUUGGAUUAAUACCUCAUAGUAUAUAGACUCGGCAUCGAGAUUAUAUUAAAGUCACAACGGUAAAAGAUGAGCAUGCGUCCCAUUAGCUAGUUGGUAAGGUAACGGCUUACCAAGGCUACGAUGGGUAGGGGUCCUGAGAGGGAGAUCCCCCACACUGGUACUGAGACACGGACCAGACUCCUACGGGAGGCAGCAGUGAGGAAUAUUGGACAAUGGGCGCAAGCCUGAUCCAGCCAUGCCGCGUGCAGGAUGACGGUCCUAUGGAUUGUAAACUGCUUUUAUACGAGAAGAAACACUGCUUCGUGAAGCAGCUUGACGGUAUCGUAAGAAUAAGGAUCGGCUAACUCCGUGCCAGCAGCCGCGGUAAUACGGAGGAUCCAAGCGUUAUCCGGAAUCAUUGGGUUUAAAGGGUCCGUAGGCGGUUUAAUAAGUCAGUGGUGAAAGCCCAUCGCUCAACGGUGGAACGGCCAUUGAUACUGUUAAACUUGAAUUAUUAGGAAGUAACUAGAAUAUGUAGUGUAGCGGUGAAAUGCUUAGAGAUUACAUGGAAUACCAAUUGCGAAGGCAGGUUACUACUAAUGGAUUGACGCUGAUGGACGAAAGCGUGGGUAGCGAACAGGAUUAGAUACCCUGGUAGUCCACGCCGUAAACGAUGGAUACUAGCUGUUGGAAGCAAUUUCAGUGGCUAAGCGAAAGUGAUAAGUAUCCCACCUGGGGAGUACGUUCGCAAGAAUGAAACUCAAAGGAAUUGACGGGGGCCCGCACAAGCGGUGGAGCAUGUGGUUUAAUUCGAUGAUACGCGAGGAACCUUACCAAGGCUUAAAUGUAGAUUGACCGUUUUGGAAACAGAACUUUCGCAAGACAU